rnacentral:rRNA from 1 species
UUGGUUAAGUUAGAAAGGGCGCACGGUGGAUGCCUUGGCACUAGGAGCCGAAGAAGGACGGGACUAACACCGAUAUGCUUUGGGGAGCUGUACGUAAGCGUUGAUCCAGAGAUUUCCGAAUGGGGGAACCCACUAUCUUUAGUCGGAUAGUAUCCUUACGUGAAUACAUAGCGUGAGGAAGGCAGACCCAGGGAACUGAAACAUCUAAGUACCUGGAGGAAGAGAAAGAAAAAUCGAUUUCCUGAGUAGCGGCGAGCGAAACGGAAAGAGCCCAAACCAAGAAGCUUGCUUCUUGGGGUUGUAGGACACUCUAUACGGAGUUACAAAAGAAAGUUAUAAAUGAAGCGGUCUGGAAAGGCCCGCCAAAGACGGUAACAGCCCGGUAGUUGAAAUAGCUUUCCCUCCAGAGUGGAUCCUGAGUACGGCGGAACACGUGAAAUUCCGUCGGAAUCCGGGAGGACCAUCUCCCAAGGCUAAAUACUCCCUAGUGACCGAUAGUGAACCAGUACCGUGAGGGAAAGGUGAAAAGCACCCCGGAAGGGGAGUGAAACAGUUCCUGAAACCGUGUGCCUACAAGUAGUUAGAGCCCGUUAAUGGGUGAUAGCGUGCCUUUUGUAGAAUGAACCGGCGAGUUACGAUUUGUUGCAAGGUUAAGCGGAAAAAGCGGAGCCGUAGCGAAAGCGAGUCUGAAUAGGGCGCAUAAGUAACAGGUCGUAGACCCGAAACCAGGUGAUCUACCCAUGUCCAGGAUGAAGGUAAGGUAAUACUUACUGGAGGUCCGAACCCACGCACGUUGAAAAGUGCGGGGAUGAGGUGUGGGUAGCGGAGAAAUUCCAAUCGAACUUGGAGAUAGCUGGUUCUCUCCGAAAUAGCUUUAGGGCUAGCCUCGAGGUAAAGAGUCAUGGAGGUAGAGCACUGUUUGGACUAGGGGCCCUUCUCGGGUUACCGAAUUCAGAUAAACUCCGAAUGCCAUGUACUUAUACUCGGGAGUCAGACUGCGAGUGAUAAGAUCCGUAGUCGAAAGGGAAACAGCCCAGACCACCAGUUAAGGUCCCCAAAUAUAUGUUAAGUGGAAAAGGAUGUGGGGUUGCUUAGACAACCAGGAUGUUGGCUUAGAAGCAGCCACCAUUGAAAGAGUGCGUAAUAGCUCACUGGUCGAGUGACCCCGCGCCGAAAAUGUACCGGGGCUAAACAUAUUACCGAAACUGUGGAUGAACCUCUUUAGAGGUUCGUGGUAGGAGAGCGUUCUAAGGGCGGUGAAGUCAGACCGGAAGGACUGGUGGAGCGCUUAGAAGUGAGAAUGCCGGUAUGAGUAGCGAAAGAAGGG